AUUAUAGGUUAUAGACUUUGUAUGGGAAAAUAUGACGACCGAGUUUUUUGGCGCGUAGACGGACCGAGCUUGCGAGGUCCGUUCGCGACAAAAAACGAGGUCGUCAUAUUUCCCAUACAAAGUCUAUAACCUUUUUAUUAUAUACUUUCAAUUUCAUUUAGAAACUAACAAUAAUUUUAUUUUUAACAAUAACUUUAUCGGUUUAACUGAGUAAAAGAUGAAAAACACGAAAAAUUUGAAAAUUAACGGCGUAGAAAUUUGAUUGUGACGUAAUGUUUGCGGGCCGGAAUGUUUCCGGGCAUAUAUCGUGUGAUAUAUGCCCGCAAACUUUUAAAGAAAAAAGAAAAGAUGAAAUUGAAAGUAUAUAAUAAGCAUGUGUAUGGAGAGCUGUGACAGUAGAGCGCACAUUUAUAAACCAGAAUAUACAAUAUAUCGUUUUAUCAACAAGAGAUUCAUAUCAAAGCAUGUCACCUUGAUAAACCUGUAAUAGAUAAACAUAAGGCACUAGUAUAAAAUGUAAAAUUUAUACGGUACCAAUUUUGAUGCACCAGAUGCGCAUUUCGACAAAUAAUGUCUCUUCAGUGAUGCUCAAUCGAAGUUUUUGAAAUCCGAAAUAACAAUAAACUUGUAAGAACUAUUUUAGGGAAAAACAGCGUGCCAAAAAAGUGGAGUCAAAUUCGUUUAAAGGUCAACUGAAACGAUUUUCAAAGUUCGUUUUUCAAAUAAAUUCCGUAAGAAAAUACCAUUCCUUAAAUGUUUUCACAUAAGAAUAAUUUUUGUUUCGAUCAUCCAGGUAGAUACGACAUCGUUAAUUUCAACCCGGUAAAUUUUAUUGUAUGAGUUAUCUGCCCUUUAGGCGAACCUGAUAUUUCAAUAUGGCGGCACGAUAUGAAAAUCAUUCGGAAGAUUGUAUUCCUGAAAUAGAUAUAUCGCUUAGUGUUAAUGUGCAGCCCUGCCAAUACGAACCAGUUGUACAGCGAGACGCAUCCCCACUAGUGGAAAACGAUAGUUAUUCAGAAAACAGCGAGGAUCAAUCGGACGAAUGCCCUUCACCUGUUCACCAUCUGAUAUGCGAGGUCGAUAUGCAAUGGUUUGUUAAUUUAGGCUAAUUAUUUAUAUGAGACUUUUAAUGAAAACGAAACGAUUACUCAAAGCUCAGAAGUGCAUCAGCAUGUAUUUCUAAGACUAGUUUUCUAUUAUUCUAACAGGUGAUCAUAUAGGCUAGUAAUGUCAUCGCAAUGCCCUCAAGAAGGGAGUCCAAAUGUUGCAGUGCAUAGGAUUGAAGAGGUGGGCGUGUCCUGCAUCACAGAUCACGAAGGUUUUGUUGUGGCAAACUGUCUCAACAGAUUGGUUAUAGGAACAGCUUAUUAUGAAUGCAUACAAAAUAUUGGUCCCUUGGAGGAGGGGGAAUUGAUUCACAAAUUUUACAGACAUCAUGCAUAUUGGAGAUCUGGUAGUAGCUUGGGAAAAACAAUUGGAAAGUUCUUCUAUCCUGCGUUGUGACUAUGAUAAGAAAUCAUUCCAUCACAACAGUACUGUGGAUUUAAAUACCCUUUGGUAUUAAUUUAAAUGUGUGAUAAAUUCUUAAUGCAUUUUUCAUAAGUGAUAUAAAUAAAUAUAAACAAGUAAACAUA